rnacentral:rRNA from 1 species
UACGUUGCGGGCAAGCGUUGUUCGGAAUUCUUGGGCGUAAAGCGCGCGCAGGCGGUCUUUUAAGUCUGAUGUGAAAGCCCCCGGCUCAACCGGGGGGGGUCAUUGGAAACUGGGAGACUUGAGUACAGAAGAGGAGAGUGGAAUUCCACGUGUAGCGGUGAAAUGCGUAGAUAUGUGGAGGAACACCAGUGGCGAAGGCGUCUCUCGGGUUUGUAAUUGACGCUGAGGCGCGAAAGCGUGGGGAGCAAACAGG